GAUGAACGCUGGCGGCGUGCCUAAUACAUGCAAGUCGAGCGAACAGACGAGGAGCUUGCUCCUCUGACGUUAGCGGCGGACGGGUGAGUAACACGUGGAUAACCUACCUAUAAGACUGGGAUAACUUCGGGAAACCGGAGCUAAUACCGGAUAAUAUAUUGAACCGCAUGGUUCAAUAGUGAAAGACGGCUUUGCUGUCACUUAUAGAUGGAUCCGCGCCGCAUUAGCUAGUUGGUAAGGUAACGGCUUACCAAGGCAACGAUGCGUAGCCGACCUGAGAGGGUGAUCGGCCACACUGGAACUGAGACACGGUCCAGACUCCUACGGGAGGCAGCAGUAGGGAAUCUUCCGCAAUGGGCGAAAGCUUGACGGAGCAAAGCCGCGUGAGUGAUGGAGGUCUUCGGAUCGUAAAACUCUGUUAUUAGGGAAGAACAAAUGUGUAAGUAACUAUGCGCGUCUUGACGGUACCUAAUCAGAAAGCCACGGCUAACUACGUG
rnacentral:rRNA from 1 species